GUUCGGUGACUGCGUACCUUUUGUAUAAUGGGUCAGCGACUUACAUUCAGUAGCAAGGUUAACCGCAUAGGGGAGCCGUAGAGAAAUCGAGUCCGAAUAGGGCGUUCAGUCGCUGGGUGUAGACCCGAAACCAAGUGAUCUAUCCAUGGCCAGGAUGAAGGUGCGGUAACGCGCACUGGAGGUCCGAACCCACUAGUGUUGCAAAACUAGGGGAUGAGCUGUGGAUAGGGGUGAAAGGCUAAACAAACCCGGAAAUAGCUGGUUCUCCGCGAAAUCUAU
rnacentral:rRNA from 1 species